GGUAGCUUAGUGGUAGAGUGCAUGCCUUGCAAGCAUGAGGUCCUGGGUUCGAUUCCUCAGUACCA
rnacentral:tRNA from 1 species